UCAGGGAUUUAGUCAGCCCCUUUCUCUCAGGAGAUCCCUCCGUGAAGACCAGCGUAAAAGACCGAGGGGUUCGCCACGGCUGCAGCACCGUCAGCAGAUUGAAUUAGGACCGAGAUUUCCUCCUCCUCCGCAGCUGCAGCAUCACUUCACCUCCCGGACAGAAGCACCGUGUAGCGACCAUGUCUGUAGCGGGGCUCAAGAAGCAAUUCCACAAAGCCACUCAGAAAGUGAGUGAGAAGGUUGGAGGAGCAGAAGGAACGAAGCUCGAUGAGGACUUCACUGAAAUGGAAAAGAGGGUGGACGUCACCGCUCGAGCAGUGCUGGACAUCAUGACCAAGACCACCGAGUAUCUGCAGCCAAACCCAGCUACCAGAGCCAAGAUGAGCAUGAUGAACUCCAUGUCACGCAUCCGGGGUCAGGAGAAGGGCCCCGGCUACACGCAGACCGAGGCCAUCCUGGGAGAGUCCAUGCAGAGGUUUGGCAGGGAGCUUGGCGAGGAGUCUGGCUUUGGCCUUGCUCUGAUCGAUGCUGGAGAAGCCAUGCGUGAGCUCGGAGAAGUUAAGGACGCUCUGGACAUGGAGGUGAAGCAGAAUUUCAUUGAUCCACUGCAGAACCUCCAUGAAAAAGAUCUGAAGGAGAUUCAGCAUCACCUGAAGAAGAUGGAGGGUCGCCGUCUGGACUUUGACUACAAGAAGAAGCGUCAGGGCAAAGUGACAGACGACGAGAUCAAACAGGCACUCGAGAAGUUUGACGACUCAAAGGAGAUUGCUGAGCAGAGCAUGUUCAACCUGCUGGAGAGUGAUAUUGAACAGGUGAGCCAGCUGGCUGCGUUGGUCCACGCUCAGGUGGAGUAUCACAGCCGGGCUGCUGAGAUCCUCACACAGCUCUCCAGUAAGAUCGACGAACGGAUAAGGGAGACUUCUAACAAACCCAGGAAAGAGUUUACCCCGAAGCCACGUACGUCUCUGGACUUCUCCAUCAGCGAGAACCACAAUGGAGGCAUCCACAGCGCUCGAUCUCCAGGUGCCAGGUCUCCAGCAAGGUCUCCAGGUGAGACAAAAGUGAAUCCCGGAGAGAUACAACAAUAUCUCUUCAUAUUUUCCCUCACAUCCAUUUCUUUUUCAUUUAUUUUUGUUAUAAGAAAACUGUUGUUCUUAAAUGAUCCAAACCAACAAAGAGCAGAAAAUCAAGUGCCGUCUGCUUGCCUCACAAAGAAUCUAAAAAAGCUGAGUGGCGGACGAGCAUUUGCUGUUUCUGCUGUGUUCUCUCGUCGGUUUUCUGAUCUGCCUUAUCCUCCUGUUUCUUUGUCCGUCUGCUCCUCCGCCUCUCUUUCAAUUUGUCGUCCAGCUUCCUCUCGCUGUCUCGUUUACUGACCUCAUCAUUUCUGCGCCUUCUGUGCUCGUCCAUCACUUCUUUUUUUUCCCAUUGACAAAAAAAAAAGCUGGUUACUAAAAUUCAAUUUUCACCAUUUUUUUUCUUCUUUUCUCUUCACAGCAAGAUCUCCAGGUGAGCAAGAGUGACUUGGGAAGAGAUGCAAAAAUCUCUCUGUCACUCUUAUUUUUCUCUACAUGGACUUUUGAAUGUGUGCAUUUUUGUUGUCUUCUUUGUGUUUGCAGUGCAGCUUGUCUGCAGUGCUGUCUCUGUCUAACCCGUUUUCUCUUUUAUUCAUCUUUGUUUUAUUGUUACAGAAAGAGUUAAGCAUUUUGGGAACUGCCUUUUUUUUUUUUUAAAUUUCCAAAUAUAACUUUCCUGUCUCUAUGCUAAAUAGGAAGCCAGAAGUAUCAGCAGUAUCUUUGUGAAGCUGCUGGACAAACGCUCACCUAAAAAAAUGCCCUGGUAAAAGAGCGAAUUGCAGGUUUUACUCUUGGGUUUGGUUACAGAUAAAACAAAUACAUCCAAUUUUACAUUUCGAUUUGUAGACAGGUAAAACAAAUGAGAUAUAAUGUAGUAACUGGUGAGCUUCAGAGGGUCUUUAAGCCACGCUUUGUUACAUAAGAUAACAAGAUAACCAAAGGAAACUUUCAUGCCAGACAUUGCUCAGAAAAAACAAAAUGACAGAACAUGAGAUUAAAUGCAAUGCCUGGUAGACAAGUAAAAACAGAUCAGUACGAUACUUGAAUUCAAUAAAAUACACUACCGUUCAAAAGUUUGGGGUCACGCAGACAAAUUCAUGUUUUCCAUGAAAACUCACACUUUUAUUCAUGUGCUAACAUAACUGUACAAGGGUUUUCUAAUCAUCAAUUAGCCUUUCAACACCAUUAGCUAACACAAUGUAGCAUUAGAACACAGGAGUGAUGGAUGCUGGAAAUGUUCCUCUGUACCUCUAUGGAGAUAUUCCAUUAAAAAUCAGCUGUUUCCAGCUAGAAUAGUCAUUUACCACAUUAACAAUGUCUAGACUGGAUUUCUGAUUCAUUUAAUGUUAUCUUCAUUGAAAAAAAUGCUUUUCUUUCAAAAAUAAGGACAUUUCUAAGUGACCCCAAACUUUUUAACGGUAGUGUAGGUAAGUUAAUGUUGAGAUAAUUUAGCGAAAAUAAAAGAAAAUUAUAUUUGAAACCAUUUUCCAUAAGGAUAAAUCUUACAUUUGCAUCACUUGUACAAAUACAUAUUCAGGUGAAAUGUUGCCUUUGGCUCUCUGGGGCGUGUAAACAGCUCAUUACUGCCCCCAAAGGCUGCACUUUUUAGGGGGUAGUUUUGCCAACCACAAAGGGCAACAAGAAAAGCCCCCAGAGAGCGCAAUACUCUGUGAAGGCUGCUCAGUCGUUGUAUCGUUUCUGUAUCAUCACAGAUAAGUCCUGAUAAGUCCGCAGCAGUGCAAUUGUAGUGGGAUUGCAAUCAUGUGAUCAUCAGCAGGCAGCUGACGUACUGUUCACUUGUUGUCAUAGUUACGGUGACGCCGUGCCGCUGUCUCGCAAUGAUACAGAAAUCUUUAACAAAUUCAUGGAUCCAGACUAUAAAGGUAUGUGUCCACUGGAUCCGUUUUUCCUGCAUGUCAACGCGUCGCAUCCGAAAAUCGCCUGCUUGGUGGGCGGUCACUAGUGGGCCACUACCGGUCACAUGACAGCGCUUUCAGCUGGAGUCCGGUAGAUGCAUCGGACCAACAUCGCAGCUCGGUCGCAAAUUUUCUCUUUUAUUUUGAAAACACUUUAGCGAAAAGUAUUUCUGAAAGCAUAUAAAGUGAGAAAUACGCUGUGUAAUUGUUGAAUCUGUCCUUGUUUUAGUUCAAUGGCGUUUGACGAAAGUUUUGUGAUGCGUUGGACCUCCGCACUUCGAAUUUGCACAAAGUAGAAGUCGAAUCUACUUUAUGUAAAUGAGUUCUGGGGAGACGCACUGGAUUGCAGCUCGAAACGCACCGCAACGGAACCAGCAUAACGCAUUUCACAUAGACAAUGAAUGGGAUGCGGGUACUAUAAGCUGCAUCACUGCCAAAAUCUAAUCACUUGGUCCUUGUGUCAUUUCUGACCUUCCCUGAAAAUUUCAUCCAAAUUCGUUAGUCCAUUUUUGAGCAAUGUUGUGAACAGACAGACAGACAAACAUACGGCAAUUGUCACAAAACUUCGCUGCAUUUCUUGGUGGAGUAAUAACAAAUUUCCACAAAUGGCACAGAGGAUAUGAGAUUAUUACUCUCAUUUAAAGAGAAUCCAUAAGAGCAUUUCCCAAAAUACUGAGCUACUCCUUUAAACUCUGCACUCCUCAUUAUACUUUGCAGUCACUGAUGGUUUUGUGUCUCCUUUGCUUUGUCUCCUCCUCUCCUUUCCCUCUUUCAGCCAGGUCUCCAGCCCCUAUGGACCAGCCCUGCUGUCGUGCCCUGUACGACUUCGACCCUGAGAAUGAAGGUGAGCUCGGCUUCAAGGAAGGCGAUAUCAUCACCCUCACCAAUAAGAUCGAUGAAAACUGGUACGAGGGGAUGCUGCAC